UCCCUCUCCUGACCUCUCGUCUCUCUCUCACGACCUGGGCGGUUGUGUAGCCACCGUCGAACACCACCAUCCAUGGAACGCCGCCUCCUCUUUGCCUAACCGCCACCAUCCUCUUUCUCACGUUUACCCUCAAGAUGCAAUAGGGAGGGCUCCACUCCCAGAUCGAUCACGGCGCUACACCACUGAGAUCUGAACCAAAUUUAUUCCUACAUCAUGUGUGGAUUCCUUGGUUGCGCCACCGCCAGAUCCAGUCUUGCUAGAUCACCCGGGCGGAGGCAGGGUGAGCACCUCCUGGCAACCCUAAGCCAAGCUAGAUUCUUGUGAAUCCACGAUGCAAGGAGUCCCCCCAAGCGGCUCAGAGGGGCUGGCGUGGAGAUAGUCGGGAAGGAUGCGUUGCCAUGGUGACCACAACGAGGUUUCAGUGCAUCCACGGACGCUCGGCAACUUCGCAUGGGGCUAACUCCAAGCUGGGUUCAUCGGCUCCACUGUGUUUGUCCGCCACCAACACACUCAUUCUUGCCUAGGUCGUUCCUCUCCUUGGUGUGUAACGGACUGUGGUUCAGGUUGAAUACUCAGCAAGCUUAGCCCAUCAUUGACGCCUUCUGGGUUGAUUUAAAAUUGGGAUAAUAGGUUUCUUGAUUGUUAUCAUGGUAACCUUUUUUUUCUGUGAGGUGAGGAUUUCACAUUGGUUCUGAUCAACGAUUGAGAGUAAGCUUAAUUAUGUUCCAUCUGAAAAAAGAUAGGUAUAAUUUUAAAUUUCCGUAAUGUUUUUUACAUUGUGAUGAUGACGUUAAUUGUUGCUACUCUACUUCGCAUACAUCAAUUUAAUUUCAUAUUCAUGGCUUUGUAACGUGUUGAGAGGGAGUAUAACAUCAUGGCCGAUGCUAUAUAUUGUAGUACUAAUUCCAGUCGAGCCAUGAUUAUAUUUUUGGAGGAUGUUGAACUCAACGGGUCAUAUUCUUAAUGAUUAUUUCGGAUCCUCUAUUUGCCGAGGGCCCAUCGGUCAUGAAAUCAACUACGGGUGAUUUUAAUCUAUAUGCAUCCUCACGUCUGGGGAAAAAUGAGAAUGGAAACCUUCACCAUGGAGGAUUUCCCAGAGAAUAUAAGGGGUGUUAAUUACAAGGCUCUAGGAGAACUGUUCAGGGUGUGUGAGCACAAAAAAACACAGAAGACAACUGUGAAAUCAACAUGAAAGGUAUAUUUCCUUUCUUAAUUAUUAAUCUUGAGUUUAUAUUCACAGAGUAAUACCUUGUUCCAUUCAAAGGUUGGAUAAAAAGCAGGGGACAAAAUAGGUGCUUGAUUUUACUGAAUCUGCAAUUUAUUUUUAUUUUUGAGUUGUGAAGCUCCAGUACAAUAAAACGUGUGUGGAAGAAAAUGAAAGCUGAGGUGUCAUUUCAUUCAUGUUUGCUUUGUAAUACUCCUAUUUAGCAGAGCAAUUGGCUCAAGUAUAAGCACAAAAACACAGGAUGUGCCACAACAGAACUUAUUAACUAUGUGGUGCCACAACAAAACAGUUAUCCAUCAACAAACAAAAGAUCGAUAAGGCUUGACCAACUUCACACUAUUCCCCUGCGUGUCAGCUAACUUUUAGUUUAAUUACUAAGAUAUUUAUGUGUUGGUUCAGGCAAAUUUACAAGCAUGUUUCAAAUCUUCAUAUAUUUAUAGAAAUUCCUAUCUUUUUAUAGCAAAUAUAGCAAAUAUAGAAGGGCGCGGCAACGCGCGCCAGCAUGGUCUCUAGUUGAGAACAGUAAAACUGCAUCUAAUCCCUGCCCUCUCAGUAAUUAGGCAUUUCUGGCCGUUGGAUUUCAUUAACUUGGCAUUCUUCACCGUUGGAUCUUCAGUUAGCUGUACCUUAAUCGCGAAGUGGGCUAAAUGUCGCAAGGGCAGGGAAGUACCUCUUCGUGAUUCAGGGCAACCUCUACCUGGUUGCCUAAUUCUCCAUCUUGCCUUUUUCAUGACUAAUUUCUACAUUUCCUGACGGCCAGGCAGUCGAAGCCCUAGCACGCACUCCAGCAGCACGGCGCAGGCCUCCUGCACCACCUGCAUGGCGCAAUGCUUUGAGCUUCUCUUAGCGGCUUGGAGGUGAAGCCAAGGUGGAAGGGAAGGUUUUACUGUAAUGCUCGAUCUUACAUCUUGUAUCGACAGUGGUGGCCAGCAGUGGGAAGCUUACUGAAAUCAACUUAUAUGGUCCGAUCCCCUCUCUACUUCUUUAAACAAUGUUCAAAGCAUACAAAGUAUGCUUAAUUAUUCGUUUCGCAGAAAUAAGGUCUGGAAUAUUUUCCUGCAAAAUAUAAAGGUCAGUAACAUAAAUAUUUGGAUGGUGAAGCUUUCACUGGUGCUCCGUGCACUGAUCGUCCGACAAGCGGGGCAACGGCAGCCACGGCGCGCGGUGGCUGGCUUUGCUCAAGCAAACUAUCUUCCCAAUUAAGUUUUUGUGCCCCGUGUUUCUUGAAGCUAUCCAGAAUUUGAUUUCUUUGACAGUGUACAUGUCAUGUGUUUGAUGCAAUGCACAAGAGGAACCAUUGUGCUCAACGGUCUUUAUUCUCUAUAUGUGCGAAGAGCCGAGGAUUACAUCAUGGACUCAGUACAGCAUAUGCCAUUAACCUCCAUUGUCCAUUGAUGUAACGGAUGUUCAUAUCAACUUACCGUACCAUUUAUGUUUCAGGUACAAUGUGUAGGCUCAAGAGCUACCGGAGUUGUCCGCUUCUUAAUAUUUGGACAGUUGAAUUCAGGAAUAUAUGAGACACGCAUUUGAAUUAAGAGAUGGAGAAUCUGAUUAUACCUUGCAAAAGGUGCUCCGGUAGGGGAAACUGCUACUUUUGACAAUAAAAUAGAUGCCAUCAUAUCAGUGUAUUGUUAGCCAGAAAUUUCUCGAGCUUAUAAUUUCUAGGCAUUUAAGUAUUCAAUUUGUGUAAAUGGUGCUAGAUUCAGAGCUUAGAGUGGUAAGUGUAUUAUUACCCUGCAUUUUUGCUUGGUCAUAUAGGUUAUAGAAGUAUCAGAUUCGACUAUAAAGUUGUGCACAGUUCACUUAUAACAUAUAUUUUACUGUCCUUAAUGACCAGGCAAAUAACAUCAAUGUUACUGGGCUGCAGGCAUCCUCCUUCUGCUGCGAUGAUGCAUAGUGCAUUAUGAUUUCAUAAUAUUCCUUUUACACCGAUCUCCUGAAGUUAAACAUGAAUGCAGACAUGAAGAAUUAUUAUGGAAGUACUACAAAAGCAAGCAUUUUUAGGUGGUUUAGAAACUUCUGUCAGAAAUUUCCUAUGUGGUGUUCAAGUUAUAAAGUAAAAUCAAUACCUUUUGGUGGAUCACCUUUUUUCA